CAAGAAAAUGCCUUUAAGAAUCGGUUGAUAUCGACAAAAAAUGAAAUUAUAUGACUCGAGGAGUGAGAAGUGCCAUGGCCCAUGACGUCCAUGCUUCAAAUGUGAAUACGAAGAACAAAGACAAAGUUUCAGAAACUAUAAAAAGGUGUUUCCAACGUAAAGUCACAUCGAAAGCAUGUAAACUUUUAGCACUACAUCCUAGGAAUAACGAUGUAUGUUUGAAAAUAUUGUUUGGUUUUUGGUUAACACUGAGCCUGAAGCCUCGAAUGAUGAAGUUUAAUUUUCGAUUGUUCGAACGUCAAGAACCCUUGUCAGUUUCGGGGGAGUUUCUUACUGUUCAUGUUGUUUUGGCUGUUUGGCAUGGAAGUUGCAGGAUAGUUUGGACUUAGGUUUAUAGAAGGCUAUAUUUUAAACCAAUGUAAUUUUUUUUUUUAAUUUUUUUUAAGUUUAACGCCGGUUCCUGCAGACACGAAGAACAUAAACGGCGGAGAUUUUAGCCACUACAAAUCAAUUUAUAUCAAAUAUGUUUAUGUUCCAGGACGAAGUUAAUACCACGAAAAGGAAUUGUGUUUUUAAAUUUUUAAAAACAAAUGACUUUACAACAUUCUAAAAGGACAACUAUAUGGGAAAGGUUGG